rnacentral:rRNA from 1 species
AAGACUGAUAGGAGACAAGAAGGCAUCUUCUUGUUUUUAAAAGACCUAGCAAUAGGUAUGCUUAGGGAGGAGCUUGCGUCACAUUAGUUAGUUGGUGGGGUAAAGGCCUACCAAGACUAUGAUGUGUAGCCGGGCUGAGAGGUUGAACGGCCACAUUGGGACUGAGACACGGCCCAAACUCCUACGGGAGGCAGCAGUAGGGAAUUUUCGGCAAUGGAGGAAACUCUGACCGAGCAACGCCGCGUGAACGAUGAAGUAUUUCGGUACGUAAAGUUCUUUUAUUAGGGAAGAAUAAAUGAUGGAAAAAUCAUUCUGACGGUACCUAAUGAAUAAGCCCCGGCUAACUAUGUGCCAGCAGCCGCGGUAAUACAUAGGGGGCAAGCGUUAUCCGGAAUUAUUGGGCGUAAAGGGUGCGUAGGCGGUUAAAUAAGUUUAUGGUCUAAGUGCAAUGCUCAACAUUGUGAUGCUAUAAAAACUGUUUAGCUAGAGUAAGAUAGAGGCAAGUGGAAUUCCAUGUGUAGUGGUAAAAUGCGUAAAUAUAUGGAGGAACACCAGUAGCGAAGGCGGCUUGCUGGGUCUUUACUGACGCUGAGGCACGAAAGCGUGGGGAGCAAACAGGAUUAGAUACCCUGGUAGUCCACGCCGUAAACGAUGAGUACUAAACGUUGGGUAAAACCAGUGUUGAAGUUAACACAUUAAGUACUCCGCCUGAGUAGUACGUACGCAAGUAUGAAACUUAAAGGAAUUGACGGGACUCCGCACAAGCGGUGGAUCAUGUUGUUUAAUUCGAAGGUACCCGAAAAACCUCACCAGGUCUUGACAUGCUUCUGCAAAGCUGUAGAAACACAGUGGAGGUUAUCAGUUGCACAGGUGGUGCAUGGUUGUCGUCAGCUCGUGUCGUGAGAUGUUGGGUUAAGUCCCGCAACGAGCGCAACCCUUAUUGUUAGUUACCAGCACGUAAUGGUGGGGACUUUAGCAAGACUGCCAGUGAUAAAUUGGAGGAAGGUGGGGACGACGUCAAAUCAUCAUGCCCCUUAUGACCUGGCUACAAA